CCGAGUUAUCAACUCCCAAACCCCUGUGAACAUACCUAAACGUUGCUUCGGCGGGACCGCCCCGGCGCCCAUCAGCGGCCCGGAACCAGGCGCCCGCCGGGGGACCCAAACUCUUGAUUUGAUCAGUGGCAUUCUCUGAGUCUCAAAACAAAAAUGAAUCA
rnacentral:misc_RNA from 2 species